AUGGUUAAAAUGCUCAGGCGAGUGAGCGGCUGCUGGCAGUGUGAAACCCCCAUCUCUCUUCUUGCUUGCACAGAGGUGCUUGCUGGUGUGUGCUUGUUUACCAGUCACCGUACUAAAGGUUUGAUGUAUAAACUCAGCCCUCAAAUUGCGAUCACUCACUGCUUAAGAAUACCACAGCUGUUUGCGGCAAGUUGGAUGUAUGUUGAAGCAUCUGGUGAAAUCAAAGCCUUUGGUGGGAGCACACUGAAAGGGCAAUUUGUACAGGGCUGCAGAGCUCUCCUCUCCUAAUCGACAGGAAAAAGCAACGCAUUUCAUAAGAGGAAACCUUUCCAAUGACUGCUGGAUUUGAGCUUGCUAUUUCCCAUAAUAAGGAUGAAGCAAAACAGGAUCUUGCUAAUGGCUGUGGAUAACUGGGCCCCUAUUACUGCAAGCACAGAGGUGCUGCUCAGUGCGUAACGAAGAGCUCAGUGUCCUGAGCAAAGCAUGCCAACGCCAUCCUCCUGCGCUGGGAUAUUUAUUUCUCCCCUUGCGCAAGAAAAACAUGGCAAUCUCAGCCUUCCCUUUGGAAAUCAAUGGCCAACAGAAAAGGACUGAAUUUGACAGCCACCCCAGGAGGUCUCCCUCCUGCAGGGAAGGGCACGGCGGGUGCUCCCGGCCGGCUCCAGCCGCCCGCCCUGAGGAGCCCCUUUGGUUCAGCCUCUGCUGUUGAACAGCUCUGUGGAUGUGCCAGGGAGAAGCGGAGAGGUUUGUCUUUUGCUCUAACUGAAGGCAGAUCCUGCAGACAAGUAAGACAGUGUCCUGCAGACACUGUCUUUCCUCCCCAGGGAGGCUGCCAUGUUCCAGCUCUCCUUUCUUUCCGCUUCGAUUCAUUGCCCUGCUGACAAGCGCUGAACUAGCAGCACCUUAAGCAACUUUUCCAUUGUUGGGCAAUUUAGGAGGAAAACUAUUUUCUUCCUCAAAAGUAAGAGCAUUUCAACUCCCUUCAGAGCUGUUAGCCACAAAAUGUGUCAGUUCGGUCUUCCCGGCUUACCGCAAUGGGGUAAAACAGUUUUGGCCUCACCUGAGUUUCUCUUCUGAGCAUGGACGGGCUAGUUUGGGGGCUUUGAUGGGAGGCAGCAACCGGCAGCGAGCAGCACGACGGCGCCGGAGCUCCCGGCUCGCUGUGACAAACCCCACCAGCCAGCUUAUUAAUAUCUUCUUCCUUCAGUGUGAUCAUGACUUGGGCAGAGUCUUGUGUCUGUUGAUCAUCUAUCAUCUAAACAGCCCAGUUAAUUUGGCAGAGCAACAAAACUGCUUUCACUGGGAGCAAGGCUCUGUGAUCUGGGAUUUUUUUGGUGGGGGGUGGGGAAGGGAGUCAAUCAGGCUAUUUAAAAAACAAAACAAAACAUUUCAGUCUAGCAACCGGUGACUUGCAGUUCUACAGUUGUCAUAAUGUGGGUUGUUACUCUUGUACCUGCUUUGUGUGGACAUACAUGCUUGCACCUAAUUUUUUUAUGACGCUUUAGCUACAAAGUAGAAAAAUCAUAACUUGCUUUCUGCCAUUACAAGACCAUGUGAUCCCUUUAAAUGCCAAAUAAAAUAAAACAUCCCCUCUGUAUUUCCUAGGUG
rnacentral:lncRNA from 1 species